CGCACCUUGCGCCUUUUGGUAUUCCGAAAGGCAUGCCUGUUUGAGUGUCAUGAUAAACCUCAAUCCCUCUGGUUUUGCGACUGGGGCGGACUUGGACUUUGGGUGUCUGCCAGCAAUGGCUCACCUUAAAUGACUUAGUGGGAUUAGUACCCAUGGCUUUAGACGUAAUAAGUUUCGUCUGGCUGUGGAGUGCGGUCGCCCUCUCAUAAACACCAACUAUUUGUAAAUCCGACCUCAAAUCAGGUAGGGCUACCCGCUGAACUUAA
rnacentral:misc_RNA from 1 species